rnacentral:rRNA from 1 species
AGAGUUUGAUCAUGGCUCAGAUUGAACGCUGGCGGCAGGCCUAACACAUGCAAGUCGAGCGGGAGUAGCAAUACUCUAGCGGCGAACGGGUGAGGAAUGCUUGGGAAUCUGCCUAGUAGUGGGGGAUAACGUUCGGAAACGGACGCUAAUACCGCAUACGUCCUACGGGAGAAAGGGGGGGAUCUUCGGACCUCUCGCUAUUAGAUGAGCCCAAGCGGGAUUAGCUAGUUGGUGAGGUAAUGGCUCACCAAGGCAACGAUCCCUAGCUGGUCUGAGAGGAUGAUCAGCCACACUGGAACUGAGACACGGUCCAGACUCCUACGGGAGGCAGCAGUGGGGAAUAUUGGACAAUGGGCGAAAGCCUGAUCCAGCCAUGCCGCGUGUGUGAAGAAGGCCUUAGGGUUGUAAAGCACUUUAAGCGAGGAGGAAGGUUCGUCACCUAAUACGUGGCGGAAUUGACGUUACUCGCAGAAUAAGCACCGGCUAACUCUGUGCCAGCAGCCGCGGUAAUACAGAGGGUGCAAGCGUUAAUCGGAAUUACUGGGCGUAAAGCGCGCGUAGGCGGUUGUGUAAGUUGGAUGUGAAAUCCCCGGGCUUAACCUGGGCACUGCAUUCAAAACUGCACGGCUAGAGUAUUGGAGAGGAAGGUAGAAUUCCAGGUGUAGCGGUGAAAUGCGUAGAGAUCUGGAGGAAUACCGAUGGCGAAGGCAGCCUUCUGGCCAAAUACUGACGCUGAGGUGCGAAAGCAUGGGGAGCAAACAGGAUUAGAUACCCUGGUAGUCCAUGCCGUAAACGAUGUCAACUAGGUGUUGGGGAACUUGUUUCCUUAGUGCCGCAGCUAACGCAUUAAGUUGACCGCCUGGGGAGUACGGUCGCAAGACUAAAACUCAAAUGAAUUGACGGGGGCCCGCACAAGCGGUGGAGCAUGUGGUUUAAUUCGAUGCAACGCGAAGAACCUUACCUACUCUUGACAUCCAGAGAAUCCUGUAGAGAUACGGGAGUGCCUUCGGGAAUUCUGAGACAGGUGCUGCAUGGCUGUCGUCAGCUCGUGUCGUGAGAUGUUGGGUUAAG